AGAGAUGUGUGAUGACGCAUAUCAAUAAGCGGAGGAAAAGAAACUAACAAGGAUUCCCUUAGUAACGGCGAGUGAAGCGGGAAGAGCUCAAAUUUGAAAUCUUCAAGGUUCUACCUUGACGAAUUGUAGUUUAUAAGAAGUGUUUUCUGUUAGUAGAGUUGGCUAAAAGUUCUUUGGAAUAGGACAUCAUAGAGGGUGAGAAUCCCGUAUUUGAUCAUUCUUUCUAGCUUUGUGAUACACUUUCAACGAGUCGGAUUGUUUGGGAAUGCAGUCCAAAAUGGGUGGUAAAUUUCAUCUAAAGCUAAAUAUUGGCGAGAGACCGAUAGCGAACAAGUACCGUGAGGGAAAGAUGAAAAGAACUUUGAAAAGAGAGUUAAACAGUACGUGAAAUUGUCAAAAGGGAAGCGUUUGACACCAGUGUUGUUUUUCCGAAAAUCAAUUACGAAUGUUUUGUUUUUAAGAGAGUUAUGACUUCAUCGGCUUGCUUCUCUCUUUACGAAACUUUCUUAAUGCACUUUUCGGUUAACAAGUCAACAUCAAUUUCUUUUGUUGUAAAAGGGUACGAGGAAGGUGGCUUUCUUUUCGGAGGAAGUGUUUAUAGCCUUGUACCUCUGCAAUCGGAGAGAUUGAGGUCUGCAGCGUAGAUCCUUCGGGGUUAGAUACAUUUGUGCUAAGUUAUAGCUUUUCAUAGACAACUUGUUGACUAUGUUUAGUCUUGUAGCUUACUCGCUUAUGCUAUUUUACCUACGCUUAGGAUGUUGACGCAUGAGAUAUACGC
rnacentral:rRNA from 1 species